CCCCAACACCCUGUCCUCACUUACUUGAAGGUCACUGAGAUUGUUCACGUGCGUCCCACAGCACAUGUUGGAAUCAACACCCUCGAUGGUAACAACUCGAAUGGGCCCAGCAUGAUCAUCGGGCAGACCCCGGCCCCUCACCUGGAACAGAGGGAAGGUAACAGGGCUGUCUGAACUUCGAUGAGGAGCCCUUGGAGAGCCACCCUGUGGAAACUGCUGCUGGCUCUCUCCUCACCUGCUCCACCUCAGGGUCAUCCAGGCUCAGCUCCCGCACACUCACAGGCAGCCGGUCUCUGAUUUUCUGAUUGACACUCUGCUCAAUGGCAGCCACCUGCUCAGCAGUCACAGAAGGGCUGUCCAACUCAAUCACACUCCGGAGUCUCCCUAAUUCCCUACCAGGGAAAGAAGCAUGGACACAUCAUGCUGGGAGUUCAUGAGGCACGCUCACACCGAGCCUGAAGGUGCAUGCCCUGAAUCCUAGUGCUUGGAAGAUGGAGGGAGGCCUGGACUUUAAGGUUGCCUGUGAAUACACAGUGAGUUCAGGUUCCUAUAACAAAAGGGGUAGGGGCCACACUUAUCCAUACUCAGGAGGCUAACUGCUGUGAAUUCAAACAAAACCCCAUAGGUAGAGACUGCCAUUCCCAUUUUACAAUGGAAGCGUAAUAAACAACAGGACCAAAGUCAUGCAAUGGAGGAACCACAGAUUUAGCUCCAGGCUCUAUACUGUAUGUUCUUUCCCAAUCAAAGGCAGAUGUGCCUGUCUCCUCUUAAGUUUCUCCUAAGAGACACCAAAGCAUCCAUGACCCAAUCUUCAAGAGAAGGCAGGUACCUUGAGCACUGUCCCUGCCUUUACUUGCCUGCCCUAACCCAGCACUGGGUCCAAUCAUACCAUGUGCCUCUACUUACCAUGACGUUGUCUUCAGCCCGAAGAGAAGGUCAGCAACCGCGGUGAUGAGAUGCUGCCCUGAGCCAAGAGAGAGGAGCAAAGUGAGAUGGCCAGCUACACAGCCAUAGGCCUGACAGGCAUUUUCACUGAAAACCGUAAGGGCUGGAAGCCUGUCUCAAAGUGACAGAGUGCUUGCCUAGAUUGUUAAGGCUGCUCUGUGACAGAGGGCUCAGCUAGCACAGGCAAGACCCUGGCUUUACUCUCCAGCAGUACAAGGAAAUAAGAGGAUUGCUCUGUGGCACGAGGUCCUGGAUUUAGUCCUUAAUAUGGGGAAAAGAAAAGGCUCUUUGGGCUGUUGUAUAGGAACAGAGGAGCAAGGAGCAAGACUGCACAUGAGGAAACCAGCCAGAGGUCCAUAGGGGAGACAGUGAGGGCGGGGGCUGGGACUACUGCAGUGGACAGAAGCAGAAAGAUAAUUGAGGAUAAAUGGAGACACUCGGUGACUGA